rnacentral:rRNA from 1 species
UACGAAGGGGGCAAGCGUUGUUCGGAAUUACUGGGCGUAAAGGGCGCGUAGGCGGCCGAUCAAGUCAGGCGUGAAAUUCCCGGGCUCAACCUGGGGGCUGCGCUUGAUACUGAUUGGCUUGAAUGCGGGAGAGGAUAGUGGAAUUCCCAGUGUAGAGGUGGAAAUUCGUAGAUAUUGGGAAGAACACCAGUGGCGGAAGGCGGCUAUCUGGCCCGUUAGUUGACGCUGAGGCGCGGAAAGCGAUGGGGAGCAAACAGGGAUUAAGAA